rnacentral:rRNA from 1 species
GAUGAACGCUAGCUACAGGCUUAACACAUGCAAGUCGAGGGGAAACGACAUCGAAAGCUUGCUUUUGAUGGGCGUCGACCGGCGCACGGGUGAGUAACGCGUAUCCAACCUGCCCACCACUUGGGGAUAACCUUGCGAAAGUAAGACUAAUACCCAAUGACGUCUCUAGAAGACAUCUGAAAGAGAUUAAAGAUUUAUCGGUGAUGGAUGGGGAUGCGUCUGAUUAGCUUGUUGGCGGGGUAACGGCCCACCAAGGCGACGAUCAGUAGGGGUUCUGAGAGGAAGGUCCCCCACAUUGGAACUGAGACACGGUCCAAACUCCUACGGGAGGCAGCAGUGAGGAAUAUUGGUCAAUGGACGAGAGUCUGAACCAGCCAAGUAGCGUGCAGGAUGACGGCCCUAUGGGUUGUAAACUGCUUUUAUAAGGGAAUAAAGUGAGAGUCGUGACUCUUUUUGCAUGUACCUUAUGAAUAAGGACCGGCUAAUUCCGUGCCAGCAGCCGCGGUAAAG